rnacentral:lncRNA from 1 species
AGUCAGCUCGGGAGAGGGACCGCGGCGACCUGUCCCGGGGGCGUAAGAAAAGGGAUGAAGCCACCGAGGCAGGGAGAAAAGUGCUUUGCCCUACAAGCAACUAAGUCAUAGGGCCAGGAGCAAAACCCUGAAAACCUCAGGAGACUUGCAGAGCCAUGAGGCUGGCUCAGCAACACAAAAGCCAGGGGCAAGCCUCAGCUCUAGCAGUGCGGUGGGAGCACCCAAGGCCAGUCACAUCCUAGGGUGGCCUGGAGAGUCCUGACCCCUGACGUGCAAGCCGGCAUCAUCCCCGGGACUGUGAGUCUGGUGGGGGUGAUGCCCAGGAAUGUGACAUUGUGUGGCCCAGAGGUACCCUUAAGACUGGAGGAUCACCAGGCGGGCCCUGACCUCAUCACAGGAGCCCUUUAAAAGCAGUUUCCUUUGCCUGGUUGAAGAAAUCGGAGGGAUCAAACCAAAGAAGGUUUUCUGUUGUUGAGAUGAGGGGGCCACGUGGCAAGGAUCUGAGAACUGCUCCCAGCCAACAGCCAGCAAGACAACAAGACCUUAACUGCAAGGAAGUGAGUUCUGCCAACAAGAAGAGAAUGGGCUUGGAGGCAGGUUUGACCCCAGGGCCUCCACACAAGAACUGAGCCCAACUGCCCACUUGGUUUCAGCCUUGGGUUACUAAGAAUUAGGAGGUAAUGAAUGAGAGUUGUUUUAAGCUGUUGGUUUUGUGGUGAUUUGCUAUGAAGCCAUAUCAAACUAAUAUACACACAGAGGUGUUGGCCCCUGGGCCAUUCCUAGGAAGCCAGCUCUGCGAAGGAGGAAGAAGGGCAGAGAGGCACACAGAGCUGCCCACCACAGCAGCUGUGUCCUCCCUGUUGGCCACCACAGUAGCAGUUGGGGAUGGUCAGCAUCCUUCAGGCAGACUCCAGCCCCGGGUGCUGGAGCUCAGGUGCUAGGGAUCAAGAGAAGUAGCCCUCUCUGGGACCUCCAGAGUCUUCUCAUGUGGGUGGGGUAGGACCCACCCAGUCAGGCUCAGAGCACCGCAAUGCCUCACACUCAUUGUGACUCUGGCCAGGCCCUCUCUGAGCCUCUGUGUCCUCAUCUGGAGCACAGGGACCAGGUGUGUGGAAGCCCGUGGCAUAGUGCCAGGAACACAGUAGAUGUGCACAGUGUGCACUAGCAGGAACACACAACAGGGGUACUGACUGUCAGCACCUAGGCAGGCACACGCAAUGGGGUACUGACUGUCAGCCAUACUGACUGUCAGCGUGCUAGCAGGCAUACACAACAGCUGUACUGACAGCACACUAGCAGGCACAUGCCAUAGGUGUACUGACUCUCAGUGCACUGGCAGGCACACGCAAUAGGAGUAAUGACAGCAUGCUGGCAGGCACACAAUAGCUGUACUGACUGUUUGCCCCAAUAUAGUGCCAGGUCUUGGAGCAGAUUUUGACUUCUCACCAAGAUCAAAUGCAGAAAGUGCACGAGCAUUUCAAAGAUGUUUUUCACAUGCACAUUAGUGCUAGUUAAAAAAAUGUUUUGACUGGGUGCAGUGGCUCACAACUGUAAUCCCAACACUUUGGGGGGCCGAGGUGGGCAGAUCACCUGAGGUCAGGAGUUUGAGACCAGCCUGGCCAACAUGGUGAAACCCCAUCUACCCUAAAAAUACAAAAAUUAGCCAGGUGUGGUGGCAGGUGCCUGUAAUCUCAGCUACUUUGGAGGCUGAAGCAGGAGAAUCACUUGAAUCCAGGAGGCAGAGGUUGCAGUGAGCCGAGAUCCCACCACUGCACUCCAGCCUGGGCAACAAUAUCAAGACUCCACCUCAAAAAAAAAAAUGUUUUUCAUAAAGUGUGACUUUUAUCAGACCUCUGCAUUCUUGAAAUUAACUCUGGCUUGGCUGGGCGUGGUGGCCCACACCUGUAAUCUUAACACUUUGGGAGGCUGAGGUGGGCAGAUCACGAGGUCAGGAGUUCAAGACCAGCC